AUACGUAGGUGGCAAGCGUUGUCCGGAUUUAUUGGGCGUAAAGCGAGUGCAGGCGGUUCAAUAAGUCUGAUGUGAAAGCCUUCGGCUCAACCGGAGAAUUGCAUCAGAAACUGUUGAACUUGAGUGCAGAAGAGGAGAGUGGAACUCCAUGUGUAGCGGUGGAAUGCGUAGAUAUAUGGAAGAAUACCGAUGGCGAAGGCAGCCAUCUGGCCUAAUACUGACACUGAGGUGCGAAAGCAUGGGGAGCAAACAGGAUUAGAUACCCUGGUAGUCCAUGCCGUAAACGAUGAGUGCUAAGUGUUGGGAGGUUUCCGCCUCUCAGUGCUGCAGCUAACGCAUUAAGCACUCCGCCUGGGGAGUACGACCGCAAGGUUGAA
rnacentral:rRNA from 1 species